GAGGAAUAUUGGACAAUGGGUGGAAGCCUGAUCCAGCCAUCCCGCGUGAAGGAUGACGGUCCUAUGGAUUGUAAACUUCUUUUGUACAGGGAUAAACCUGCCCUCGUGAGGGCAGCUGAAGGUACUGUACGAAUAAGCACCGGCUAACUCCGUGCCAGCAGCCGCGGUAAUACGGAGGGUGCGAGCGUUAUCCGGAUUUAUUGGGUUUAAAGGGUCCGUAGGCGGGCCUGUAAGUCAGUGGUGAAAUCUCAUAGCUUAACUAUGAAACUGCCAUUGAUACUGCAGGCCUUGAGUAAAUUUGAAGUGGCUGGAAUAAGUAGUGUAGCGGUGAAAUGCAUAGAUAUUACUUAGAACACCGAUUGCGAAGGCAGGUCACUAAGAUUUAACUGACGCUGAUGGACGAAAGCGUGGGGAGCGAACA
rnacentral:rRNA from 2 species